rnacentral:lncRNA from 1 species
CGCAUGUUUUGCUUUUCAGAAUUGAUGCGAUAGAAAACUCAUAAAAUUGCUGCUGAAACAGGAGAGAGGAUGCGGUCGGUAAGAACACAUUUAACAGCCUGUUGGACGCAGAAGUUGAGAGUCAUCAUCAUUCAGUCAAAAUAUCCGUUCUUUCUUGCUUUGGAGGGUUUAAAUAGGUACAAGAAGCGAUAAGGACUAUUAUUGAAUGGGGACUGACAUGCACACUUGGAAGUCAGAGGUCCAGAUGCAGAAAUCUGCAGCGCAUAUUGGGAUGGUCAGUCAUCAGACAGAUUUCACCGAGCUCACUUUCUCCAUGUUCAGCAGUAAAACAGACAUCUGCCCGAAACGCGUCCCUGCUGACGGCUGUGGCUCGAAUCCCGCCUCGAUACAGAUGCGCUGCGGGUCUGGAGAUCUCAAACUCCACGCGCAUCACACCUCCAAACUUCACUGUUUCACCAUGUCACCCGGAGAGGGGUUACACUGCGAAUGUGAGCGAGCCUUACCGGAGACGUUUGCGCUCAUCUGGAGGCUCUGGUUUCUCUUUAGAAUCAGCA